rnacentral:lncRNA from 1 species
UAGAAGAGAGCGUUGGGGUUAAACAAAAAUAAGUUAACUGCACUAGUAGCUUCUCAUAAGCAUGCACAAUAGGAUAGCUGUGUACUAAAAUUGAAUAAUUCAAAAUAAAAUGAAAACAGAAAUGAGAGAAAAAUCAUACAAACAUUGCUGCAAUUCAUGCAAUGAUCAAAUGGAUGCUUCAAGCACCUAACCUAGUAUUUUAUGAGCAUCCAACAAAUCACUUGCAACAAAUACAAACAUUGAUACAAAGUCAUUUAUAUCUUUGAGCAUCUACGAUGCACUGUCUCCAUAACUAUUUGCAGCUUAGCACUUCUGAGCUCCAGCCUCCAAAACCUCAGGUGUUCAAGUUUCUAGAGAUUAUCAUUCCUGAAAGUUGGUUCAAAAUGGUAGUUAAAUAGCAGUUCAGCUCAUCUCUAAAAUCAAAAAAGAAAAACAAUUCAUUCUAAGUAGUUGACACGUGCGCCGUCAGGUCGCAGUCUGAUCGGCAGCACCCUGCUUCUGACGUCGCCGUUGAUACGUAAUGCCGACCAUAACAUCAACAUAAUGCAGUAUUGCAGGAAAUGGUAACCAAAUCACUUUUGAGUUAAAUUAUGCCUAGUUCAUAUAUCCAUGAGGAGUAAAAUUUCUGAAGAGUAGUUUGUUCAAUAUUAACACAUAUUUCCAAACCAGCAGGCUGUGCACAUUAAGGACAGGCAACGACCACAAAUGCGUUAGCAGUAUGGAUGUAAGAGAGAUAUUUGCAAAUACUAUAAAAGUCCCAGCCAGCUGAAGAGAAUCAAAAUUUCAGGUAUAAAGUAGCAGAUGGCAGACAUUAAGUUGCCCUGUUCAAGAACCAAAAAACAGCUAGCUGCAUAAUUACAUAUCAAUUUUUACAGAAUUUAGUGUAUGUUUUUACAGAUUUUUUUUCUACAAUCCCCAUAGAGUUAUGAAGUGCAAAGAGUUUGCUGGAGCAAAAUAAUUAUUUUAACGGUUACAUCAGUAAUCAUGCCCUUGGAUAUCAUUAAAUGUUUCAGAAACUAACAGCUCAUAUAUCAUUUUAAUAAAGCACACAGCUCAUCCUUCACUCCUGCUUUUAACCAUGAGCUUUUAACUAGCAUGUGGCACACUGUCACCUGCUUCAUGUGAGUAUACUAUGUUCACUGUCUACUAAAAACUAACUUAUUUGUUCCAGUUAAAAGAAGACAUAAAACAACUAAAAGGUAAAUGCUGCAAUUGUGCGUGAGAAAGUCAUAAAAUUUCACACCUCCGCAGAACUAACUGGAAUAGAUGAAGGCUUCUAUUUGGUUGACUUUUGAGUAUAACAUAUCUUAACAGUUCAUUGUAAAUAAAUCUGCCUUGUGGUUUGGGGCCAAAAUCUUAAAACUCAAACUGAGAAAAUAUCAACAAAGGUACAUUGCCUGACCAAACAAUGAUGCAUCAAGUAAUCUAGUAUUAGAGACGCAUUAAAACUAUGCCGGAUCAUUUUUUUUAAAUCGCCAAAAUAUCAACAAAGGUACAUUGCCUGACCAAACAAUGAUGCAUCAAGUAAUCUAGUAUUAGAGACGCAUUAAAACUAUGCCGGAUCAUUUUUUUUAAAUCGCCUGAUGAACCCUUGGCACUUAUCAGACGAUUAAAUCAUGAUCAGACCAAUGAAUUGACCAUACUUGGUCCUAUGCUUUUGUAAUUCAUUACAGUACAACUAAAACAAAUGCAAAUUGUAAUACAAGAAAAUCAGAAAUCAGUCUGCCAUGCUCCACUCAUAAGAUUUCUCCGUAUUCUUUUUUGUUACAAAAGAACUUUGGUAUGGACUUAUCUGAGUUUACAAGCCAUAGCUCUGAAUUACUGAAUCUGAACGUAACCCUAGGUCGUAGCACUAACCAAAACCCUAGGAAGAACAGGAGAAGAAAGAAGAAUGGACUGACCUCAGAUCUCGAAGAGGAAGGCGCGGAGGAGGAGGAGGGCGGCACUAAGCAGGUCGCUGGGGAGGCUCGUUGCUGGCGGCGUGGGGGAGGCUCGUUGCUGGCGGCGGCGGCCUCGCGAGAGGCGGAGGCGAUGACGGUGACUCGCGCUCACGCGAGCAGGCGAGGGGAUUUUUCCCCGACGUUGAGAGGCGUGGCUUCUUUCCCC